AUGAAACAUCUUCUCAUCACGUUUGUCAUCUCGUCUCUUUGGCUUCAAGUUCAAAGCCAGGGUGUCACCCAACUCCCUGAGAUCAGCUGGGGAAGAGUUUCCACAUCAGCCGAGAUGAACUGCAGCCACGACAAAGAUAUUACCUAUAAACAGAUGUACUGGUACAGGCAGCGUCCAGGGGAGACCAUGACCCAAAUUGUCUACACAGCGGUUGGAGGACAGCCAGCCUUUGGGGGCGUCUCUCAGAGCAAAUACUCAGCCGUCAAAGAGACGGCUGAGAGCGGGGCUCUUACUGUGAAAGACUUGCAGCCUGACGACAGCGCUGUGUAUUUCUGUGCUGUCAGCAGCACACACAGUGAUGAGAUCGAUGAGAGCAGCUGAACAAAAACACG